CAUUUACAGGUAUUGAAUUGGUGAAAACCACUUAUCAUAUAUCUCUUCUGGUACCUUUGCAUUUCCCUUUUCAUUUUCUCCCCAUGCUGUGGUGCUGAUACAUUCCUUUCAUUUCUCUCCUUGCUGUGGUGCUACAGUUUUCUAUAUCUUGAUAUUCCAUGCAAGAUCGCAUCAGAGGUGGAGUAGAUCAAGAAAUGGAUGAUGAAGACGACGAAGAACAAGACCUUACUUGAAUUGAAUUUUGUAUUGUUAUAGAUGAAUGUUCUAGGAAUCUUUUGUUACCAACAUUUUUGAAACUUACUUACUCUCUUGAAAUGUACUAAACUUAUGCACUCAUGGGGUAGAACAUUUGCUUUAUGGAUAUUAUUUGCUUGAUGGAUAAUUUUGUAUUAUUAAUAGUUUCAUUUUAUGAUGUAUUUAAAUUUUAGUGUUA